ensembl:lncRNA
GGAGAAGGCUGAGAUGCUCAAUUACUUCUUUGCCUCAGCCUUCACCGGGCUCUAGCUGCACUGCCCAAGCUGCAGAAAGCAAAGGUAAGAGCUGGAAGAGGGAAGAUCUGCCUGCUGUAAGUGAAGAUCAGGUUUGAGAUCAUCUAAAGAACCUGAAGGUGAACAAGUGCAUGGGAUCUGACACGAUCUUCCCACAGCUUCUAAGGGAACUGGCAGAUGAAGUUGUCAAGCCAUUAUUCAUCAUAUUUGAAAGGUCGUGGCAGUCUGGUGAAGUUCUCACUUACUGGAAAAGGGGAAACAUAAACCACAUUUUCAAGAAGGGAAAAAAAAGAUAAUUCAGGGAACUACAAGCCAGUCAGUCUCACCUCUGCGCCUGGCAAGAUCAUGGAGCAGAUCUUCCUGAUGGCCCUACUAACGCACAUGGAAAAUAAAGAUGAGGUGACUGAUGGUAACCAACAUGGUUUCACCAAGGGCAAGUCGUGCCUGACAAACUCGGUGUCUUUUUAUGAUGGAGUUGCAGCAUCAGCAGAUAUAGGAAGAGCAACUGAUGUCCUCUACCCAGCCUUGUGCAAAGUCUUUGAUGCUGUUCCGCUUGACAUCCUGGUCACCCAAUUGGAGAAAAAUAGAUUGGAUGACCACUCACUGAAUGAAGAGUUGUCUGGAUGGUCACACUCAGAGUUGCAGUCAAUGGCUCAAUGUCCAAGUGCAGUCCGGUGAUGAGUGGUAUUCCUCAGGGAUCAGUGCUGGGACCAGUGUUAUUUCAUGUCUUUGUAGCUGAUAUGGACAGCGGGAUGGAGUGCGCCCUCAGCAAGUUUGCAGACAACACCAAGCUGAUUGGUGCAGUGGACACACUAGAGGGAAUGGAUGCCAUCCAGAAGGACCUGAACAGGCUUGAGAAGUGGGUGAAACACAUACCUCUGAGAGAUAGAUCUGGAUGGGAAGGUGGAGAAGUUGUGACAAAAUGAGUAAAGAAAGAAUAUAGAAGAAGAAACAGAGGAAGCAGGCAUUGGGGUCCAAGACACUGAGAAGAAAUUCAGCUAUUCAGUGCAGUGGUGGAUCAGCAGUCACAUCCCUGAUAAAGCCCGGAAGCAAGAAACAGAACAUCCCUGAUAAAGCCCCGAAGCAGUCUGCUUUUUUAACCAGUGAAAGGAAAGCCUAGCUCCAUGCCAGCAUUGGCAUUUCCUGCCAUAAGCUUUCCGUGGUGAGGCACAAAUAUUACUUGAAAACAGUCUGCUAAUUUCUGCCAGUUAGUGCUGCAAUCUGCUGCUGCUUUAAAGCACUUGAUGCUUCUCUUUGAGGUGUUACGCUGCCAGUAUUAGGGCCCUGGACUUUAUCACACAAAGAGCCAUAUAUGGGACAGAAGCAGAAAGAAGAUGAUGACCAUUGGCAUAAACACUAAAAUAUUAUUUCCAAACCUUCAGGUUAGCAGUUCAUUCAACAUCACCUUUGCUCCUCGAAAGGCAUGCACUCUGCAUUACACAGUGUUUUAAGGUGUCAGUGUUUAAGUGAAAUUGAUCGAUGCAUGAGGUACAGACAUAAUGAUGAUAUUCUGAAGACAGCUCUGCCUGCAUGGACAGGAUUGUCCUUGCUAGUUUGCAUGCAGAAGGAAUCAUGAUGUCUGUUCCGGGGAACUUGAUAAUCUCUUGCAGUUAAUACUGUAAUUGGAGGUGUUGGAAGAGCUUGUUGAGUUCAUGCCAGGGAAUGUGAGCGUCUCACAAGGCUACGGACACCAUACUAUACACUAACCAACCAACCUGCCUACUGCUGUGGAUGCUUAUACAGAACUCUUGCUUUUGCAAAUCACUCGUCUGAACAGCAAAAUGUUCAACACUCAUUCCUUCAAAAUGUGAUCAUAGAGUGCCAUCAGUAAUAUCCACACAUCUGACUGCAUCCUUGGUGGCAAGGGCAAGCCAUCCUCCCUCUUUUUAAAAGCGAGCAGCAUCUGUCACCACCACCGGGCUCCCACUGCUAUCCCAUGGUGAGGCCAAGGCCAGGCUAGGAUGCGACUACCCUGCUAUCUCUUAGCAGAACUUCCCAGGCUGAUUCCAGCCUCACUGUUUCAGAUCACAAGUGUACAAGUAUGCACUAGAGAAACCAAAUAUCAAAAACAAAGUUGCUUCCUACAGCCUUUGCCAUCCUUCAAGGACAAAAUUUCUGACUUCCAGUGUGUUGCUCAUAGGGAUACAGCUCUGCAAUAAUGCCAUGAAGGCAGAAGUGGCCAUCAGAAAGGGAUAGCAGAAAAUUUCAGCAAGAAUCUUUCGCCUUAAACACAUUUCUUCUGGAGUUUAGCAGAUCUUUGCAGAGAAAUUGUUUGCAGCUCAUCUGUGGUGACUGAGACCAUUGUCUGCUGUUAAGUAAUGAGUUAUUUUUAUCCACCGAAGCUCACCAGCAUCUCUGAGGGUGACGGCACCUUGCCAAGGCUUUGGAAAGUCUGCUUGAGCUGAUACACAAAGAUGAAUGGUUGAGGCAAGCCUGGAGGACACUUCUGAGUCAACCUUACAGAGGGAAUUAAAUCCAAAUAUACCAGGUAGCUCCACAGUGGAGUUGCUGAAAAGUUGUUUUUGCUUCCCUUCUGACAGAUGGCAGAGAAUGAUGUCUCCUGGUCUUUUGGAAAUCCCUUUUACUUUUCCUCCUACAGCAAAAAAGUUCCAAACAGGUUUGUGAUGGGUACUAGGGAAGCAUGGGCUUUACAGUUGUAUGUGCACAGUUAGGUUUAGGUUGUAAUGUUGCAAUAAAAAUGGCC